CGCUUUAAGAUUUAAUUUAAAGUAUCGCCUGCUCAAUGAAAUAUUUUAAAUAGCCGCAGUAUAUACUGUGCUAAGGUAGCAUAAUAAUUAGCUUUUUAAUUAAAAGAUAGAAUGAAAGGCUAGACAAAAAGUACCUGUUUCAUUUAAUAUAAACAAAUUUAUAAAACUAGUUAAAAUACUAGUAUAAUUAUAAUAGACGACAAGACCCUAAUAAACUUAAUAUUUAGUUGGGGCAACAAAACAAAAACACUUUAUUUUAUAGAUAUAACUAUAAUAUAUAAAUUAAAUAGUUACUAUAGGGAUAACAGCGCAAUUCUUUUUAAAAGCUCAUAUUUAAAAAAGACAUUACGACCUCGAUGUUGAAUUAAUUAUCCAAUAUUAGUGCAAAAGCUAAUAUGGUAAGGUCUGUUCGACCUAUUAUCAAUU
rnacentral:rRNA from 1 species